rnacentral:rRNA from 1 species
UACGUAGGGACCAAGCGUUGUUCGGAUUUACUGGGCGUAAAGGGCGCGUAGGCGGCAUGUUAAGUCAGCUGUGAAAUCUCCGAGCUUAACUCGGAACGGUCAGCUGAUACUGAUGUGCUAGAGUACAGAAGGGGCAAUCGGAAUUCUUGGUGUAGCGGUGAAAUGCGUUGAUAUCAGGAGGAACACCGAUGGCGAAGGCAGCAAACUGGGCAUUAACUGACGCUGAGGCGCGAAAGCGUGGGUAGCAAACAGG